GGGCCCGUAGCUUAGUCAGGCAGAGCGAUGGACUCUUAAUCCAUAGGCCGGGGGUUCAAAUCCCUUCGGGCCCGC
rnacentral:tRNA from 3 species